AACGCGAAGAACCUUACCUACUCUUGACAUCCAGAGAAGCCAGCAGAGAUGCAGGUGUGCCUUCGGGAACUCUGAGACAGGUGCUGCAUGGCUGUCGUCAGCUCGUGUUGUGAAAUGUUGGGUUAAGUCCCGCAACGAGCGCAACCCUUAUCCUUGUUUGCCAGCACGUAAUGGUGGGAACUCCAGGGAGACUGCCGGUGAUAAACCGGAGGAAGGUGGGGACGACGUCAAGUCAUCAUGGCCCUUACGAGUAGGGCUACACACGUGCUACAAUGGUGCAUACAGAGGGAAGCAAGAGCGCGAGCUGGAGCGGAUCUCAAAAAGUGCAUCGUAGUCCGGAUUGGAGUCUGCAACUCGACUCCAUGAAGUCGGAAUCGCUAGUAAUCGUGGAUCAGAAUGCCACGGUGGGUCUUGUACACACCG
rnacentral:rRNA from 1 species